ACUCAAAUGAAUUGACGGGGACCCGCACAAGCAGUGGAGUAUGUGGUUUAAUUCGAAGCAACGCGAAGAACCUUACCAGGUCUUGACAUCCCUCUGACCGUCCUAGAGAUAGGGCUUCCCUUCGGGGCAGAGGAGACAGGUGGUGCAUGGUUGUCGUCAGCUCGUGUCGUGAGAUGUUGGGUUAAGUCCCGCAACGAGCGCAACCCUUGAUCUUAGUUGCCAGCACUUCGGGUGGGCACUCUAGGAUGACUGCCGGUGACAAACCGGAGGAAGGUGGGGAUGACGUCAAAUCAUCAUGCCCCUUAUGACCUGGGCUACACACGUACUACAAUGGCCGGUACAACGGGAUGCGAAAGGGCGACCUGGAGCGAAUCUUAGAAAGCCGGUCUCAGUUCGGAUUGCAGGCUGCAACUCGCCUGCAUGAAGUCGGAAUUGCUAGUAAUCGCGGAUCAGCAUGCCGCGGUGAAUACGUUCCCGGGUCUUGUACACACCGCCCGU
rnacentral:rRNA from 1 species